UACGUAGGGGGCAAGCGUUGUCCGAAUUUAUUGGGCGUAAAGAGCGUGUAGGCGGUCAGGUAGGUCCGUUGUGAAAACUCGAGGCUCAACCUCGAGACGCCGAUGGAAACCAUCUGACUAGAGUCCGGAAGAGGAGAGUGGAAUUCCUGGUGUAGCGGUGAAAUGCGCAGAUAUCAGGAAGAACACCCGUGGCUAAGGCGGCUCUCUAGUACGGUACUGACGCUGAGACGCGAAAGCGUGGGGAGCGAACAGG
rnacentral:rRNA from 1 species